AUUGCUUAACAUUAUGGGGACAAAAAUAGAUAUAAGCUUGUAUAAAAUCAAUAACAAUAAGUUGUAGUGACGUGAAUUAUCUUAUGGGUGGGUGUCAUUUGCCAUAUUUCUUAUUUGUUCGAUACAUGUUUAGGAUACUCAAGAUUAAAAUUCAAGAAACAACUUUGUUUUCAAGAAAACAUUGAAUUAUACGCUAACAUUGAUGUAUUUCUAGUUAUUCAUGUUUGCGUUGUACAAAAUAAAGACUCGGGUUUUCUUAUUAUCAGCACAGUGAUGUGGAUAAUAAGGUUAGAGACUAAAAUAACAAAAUAUUUAAGAUUGUAUGAAGGCUCCAAUACUAAAGCUAAAUGAUAGUGAUGUAUAAAGAUAAUAAGUAAAAGUGAUUAGUAUAAAGAAAAGGACCGAGUAGACAUAUUCGGUAGUGCAAUUAUUUUGUUUUGGACCAAAGUUGAUUUUGUGUGAAGUCUAGUUAAAAUGACCUAUAAGAUAUUUUAGAGUUGAAAAAUCUAAUAAUUUUGAGGGGAGUGGAAGGAACAACAUGCAACCGGCAGACAAGGCUGUCGUGGCCAUCCGUCACUGAAGGGGCCACGACGACGAUGACACAAACGGAGACACGAUUGGCAGGGCAGGGCAGCCACGCGCAUACGAGGUGGUUGUCCAAUAUAGGGUUUAGUUUCUUUUUUUAGUUAACGGUCGAAAUAUGAAUAUUUUUAUGUAAAUUAUCUUCGAACUUGAAUGAAGUCGUCCUAUUGAUCGAAAUUCAUGAGGUUAAUUCGAAUUGUUGUUAGGAUGUAUGCU
rnacentral:lncRNA from 1 species